rnacentral:rRNA from 1 species
GGAUUAGAUACCCUGGUAGUCCACACCGUAAACGAUGAGUGCUAGUUGUCAGCAGGCAUGCCUGUUGGUGACGCAGCUAACGCAUUAAGCACUCCGCCUGGGGAGUACGGCCGCAAGGUUAAAACUCAAAGAAAUUGACGGGGGCCCGCACAAGCGGUGGAGCAUGUGGUUUAAUUCGAAGCAACGCGCAGAACCUUACCUACCCUUGACAUGCCCGGACGGUUUCCAGAGAUGGAUUCCUCUCUUCGGAGCCGGUGCACAGGUGCUGCAUGGCUGUCGUCAGCUCGUGUUG